UACAGAGGUCCCGAGCGUUGUUCGGAUUCACUGGGCGUAAAGGGCGCGUAGGCGGCUCAUGAAGGCUGUGGUGAAAGUCCGGGGCUCAACCUCGGAUCGGCCGUGGCGACUCGUGGGCUGGAGCACUGUAGAGGCGGGUGGAAUUCCGGGUGUAGCGGUGGGAAUGCGUAGAGAUCCGGAAGAACACCGGUGGCGAAGGCGGUCUGCUGGGGCAGUU
rnacentral:rRNA from 1 species